GUUUAUUUUCUACCUUUCUUCUGUUUCUAGGUAAAUUAAUUGAAUUCUGGGUAAAUGUGAAUAUCUGGCAUUAACAUAUUUUCAUCUUGUAAUUUUCAAUGGACUUUCAUAUCUAAUUUAAUUCUCAUAGCCUUUUCAAAUAUGUUAAUAAUUCACUAUCUCUCAAUUAUAUUGAAAAGAACUUGAUUAUUUCAGGCCAUUUAGCCAGUCCAGGGUUGCAUAGCUCGGCAAUCAAAGAGCGAGGGCCAGAGAUUGGAAAUUCUGCAUCACUGGGCUAGAGCACUCUUCAAUAAACAAUUCCUUCUAAGAGAUGGAAAUGUGUCAGAGAUGGUGAAACUUAGGAAGAAGAUUGGAGUAAAUAAUAUAUUAUUUCCAAAAUCUCAACGUGCCAGAUUUGAUAUAAGGAUAUCAGUUUAAAACUAACUUCAAUUUUCAUUUAGUGCAUGAGUUAGAACAGGCAGGUUUACUUCUUUCGACACAGUAAUAGAGACAGUAUGUUGUGAUGAUUAAAAGCAUGGACCCUAGAGUCAGACUGCCUGAGUUUAAAUUUGGAUCUAUCACUUAAUAUUUGUAGCACUGUAGCAAAAUUUCAGUAGUUCUAUGGUUUCAUUUUCUGAUAUGUAAAUUACAUUUUAUAGGAACAUUGCCUGCAGGUAAUUAUGAGGAUUAAAUGAGCAAUUACACAUAAAAUAUUUUGAAGAGUGCUCUUCACAUAGCAAACAUUCAAUAAAUAUUAAGUAUUAUUAUUCAACCAUUGAGAAAAGUUUGAGCUUCCUUAGACAUUAGUAUUUAUUAUUUUAUUAUCAACCAAGUUUCUCUUUUUGCUCUAAAAAAGGGUUAAUUAAAAAAGAAAGCAUCAUUGAGCUACUCCAACUCUUUUGGAGUUCUCUUUUGCUGAAAUAUAUGUGGCUUCCUCCUUCGAAACUAUCAAUUGUCAUUGAGUGACCGUUCAUCUAUACAUGUCUACAAAUAUGAGACAUAAGAUUGUCAGUUGAUCUGGGAGUGGAGCAAUGGCCACUGCUGUGAAGGUGAGGGAAAGAUAAAAUUAUAUCCAGUGAUUACUGUGCCAUCAUCUCUUUUGAUAAUUAUGAAGAAUAACUAUUAAAAAGUAAGCAUCAAAGAAAAUCUUAUCUUAGGGACUAUGCUUAAAUAAGCUUGGGAUCUGAGUCCUAGGGAACAAUCACUUCUUUGUGCAAGCUGUUUUCUGCUAAACCCCUUAUUUCCAAUCACAGAAUUAAAGGCAAUAAAGAAAUCAAAUUAUAUGAAGAAUAUUUACCUGUAAGAAUCUUUCAAGGAUGUUACACACUUCAAGACUGAAAGAAACUUUCAGGAUUCAAAAAUGAAAUAUGAAAGCCAAAUGGAACAAUGGAAGGAGAAAAGAAUAGAAGAAACAAAAAAUUAAGUGGAGUCCAAAGAGGAGCCAAAGAAUCUGUUCUUCUAUGCAAUUUUCAGUGCAUCCUGAAACUACUGUCACAAAACCUAUCUUCCUGAAGGAGAGAGUCUCAUGACAGAAAAACUAAAAAACUAUCUAUAAAGAGUACCAUUGGCAGUGAAGUUUCAUGUCAUCUGGGCCACCCACUCACAGGAGAGCUGCUUUGCUUACCUAUUUGUCUUAGAUUUAAAAACAUGGCAGGUUUUUUUAAAAACUAAUUUAAAAAUAAAUAUUUUAUUGAAUUUGA